UACGUAGGGGGCAAGCGUUGUCCGGAUUUAUUGGGCGUAAAGAGCGUGUAGGCGGUUUGGUAGGUCCGUUGUGAAAACUCGAGGCUCAACCUCGAGACGCCGAUGGAAACCAUCAGACUAGAGUCCGGAAGAGGAGAGUGGAAUUCCUGGUGUAGCGGUGAAAUGCGCAGAUAUCAGGAAGAACACCAAUGGCGAAGGCAGCUCACUGGGACGGUACUGACGCUGAGACGCGAAAGCGUGGGGAGCAAACAGG
rnacentral:rRNA from 1 species